AUUGAACGCUGGCGGCAGGCCUAACACAUGCAAGUCGAACGAGUGGCGGACGGGUGAGUAAUGUCUGGGAAACUGCCUGAUGGAGGGGGAUAACUACUGGAAACGGUAGCUAAUACCGCAUACUAUCGAAGUGGCCCAGAUGGGAUUAGCUAGUGGGUGGGGUAACGGCUCACCUAGGCGACGAUCCCUAGCUGUUCUGAGAGGAUGACCAGCCCCACGGGAACGGAGACACGGUCCAGAUUCCUACGGGAGGCAGCAGGGGGGAAUAUUGGACAAUGGGCGAAAGCCUGAUGCAGCCAUGCUGGGUGUAUGAAGAAGGCCUUCGGGUUGUAAAGUACUUUCAGCGGGGAGGCGGUACCCGCAGAAGAAGCACCGGCUAACUCCGUGCCAGCAGCCGCGGUAAUUC
rnacentral:rRNA from 1 species